rnacentral:rRNA from 1 species
UACGGAGGAUCCAAGCGUUAUCCGGAUUUAUUGGGUUUAAAGGGUGCGUAGGUGGCUUAUUAAGUCAGGGGUGAAAGACGGUAGCUUAACUAUCGCAGUGCCUUUGAUACUGAUGAGCUUGAAUGAACUAGAGGUAGGCGGAAUGUGACAAGUAGCGGUGAAAUGCUUAGAUAUGACUUAGAACACCAAUUGCGAAGGCAGCUUGCUAAACAAACAUUGACGCUGAGGCACGAAAGCGUGGGGAUCAAACAGG